GAUGAACGCUGGCAGCGUGCUUAACACAUGCAAGUCUAACGCAAAGCUGCUGUUGUUGUGCGUUGCUCGAGUGGCGAACGGAUGAGCAACACAUGAAUAACCUGCCCUGGACUGUGGGACAGCUUCAGAAGACUGGGGCUAACACCGGAUAGGAGCUCGUGCCGCAUGGUGGGGGUUGGAAAGUUUAGGCGGUGGGGGAUGGACUCGCGGCUUAUCAGCUUGUUGGGGGGGUAGUGGACUACCAAGGCUUUGGCGGGUCGCCGGCCUGAGAGGGUGACCGGGCACAUUGGGACUGAGAGACGGCCCAGACUCCUACGGGAGGCAGCGGUGUGGAGUAUUGCACAAUGGGGGGAAGCCUGAUGAAGAAACGCCGUGUGUGGGAUGACGGGCUUCGGGUUGUAAACCGCGUUCGCCGGAGACGAAGCGAGAGUGACGGUAAUGGGUAAAGAAGCACCGGCUAACUACGUG
rnacentral:rRNA from 1 species